rnacentral:misc_RNA from 1 species
AAGAAACAGAGAAAGCAAAAGCAAAUUCGCAUGGGAACUCCUAUUAAAUCUCCUCCUCCGCGACCAUUCAUUAGCAAAGCCGAGAGCUCAAAAAAGCCACAGCAAGCAUCAAAGAAUGGUGAUAUAAAGGCGAAGAAACGAUUAAAAAGUGAUAGUAGUGAUGACGACGAUGAUGAGUUCAUUCUAAGUCCAAAGAGAAGAAAAGGGUAAAAAAAAAGAAGAUGAACUCUGCAUUUGCAAGAAU